UACGUGAGGGGCAAACGUUGUUCGGUGUCACUGGGCUUAAAGGGCGCGUAGGUGGCUAUGUAAGUAAGGUGUGAAAGCCCUCGGCUUACCCGGGGAAUUGCGCCUUAAACUGCAUGGCUUGAGGAUCAGAGAGGUUGGAGGAACUCCAGGUGUAGCGGUGAAAUGCGUAGAUAUCUGGGGGAACACCGGUGGCGAAGGCGGCAUCCUGGACCGGUAUUGACGCUGAGGAGCGAAAGCCAGGGGAGCAAACGGG
rnacentral:rRNA from 1 species